rnacentral:tRNA from 1 species
GGCCGACUAGCUCAGUUGGUUAGAGCGUCGUGCUAAUACAUCGUUCUGCGGACACUCGCGCUUGAUCAUCGUGGGUUGUCUGUGGGAUUGUUACGCGAAGGUCGUGGGUUCGACCCCCCCGUUGGCCA